ACCGGUCCUCCAUGUUUAGCCUAAGCUCCCCUCCCCUAGCUCUCGAGAGGAAGCUAAAGCUCUCCACCACCUACACUAUUCUCCUAGUGUUCUUCCUCUUCACUCUCUACAUCACCUCAUGCGAAGCUCGUCGUCUCCGCGUCAAUGGCAAGCACUUAAGCAGCAGCAAGUCUUCCUCAUCAUCCCAGGAUGCGACAGAGGUUGCUGAUGCCCAGAAGCAAACGAGAAGCUCGUUGAUGGUUCAUGAUGUGGGGAAGAAGGCUCGAGCUGCCGGAAGCGGCAUCGAUCAGUCGACGGGCGCGGGAGCAACAUUGAUCAAUCGAUCAGGUGGAAUACGAAACACCACGCAUGCCGCUAGGGUUUCGCAGCAGCUUCCUCAUCGCAAGCACGUGGACGAUCAGGGAAUUCACCUGGAUUAUGCUCAGCCUAGAACCCGCACUCCGUAUCACAACUGAACAUAUAUACAUCGAUCACGGAUGAGAGCCGUUCAUGAGAUGACAUUUAUGUCAUCGUGAUCAUUUAUCUAGUUAUAUAUAUCAUGUAUAUUUCUCCUUGAAUCUCACUAGCUAGCUACCAGCAGCUUCAAGUCGUGUCUGUGUUUCCGCUAUAUUUCUAGUUAUUUUAUGCAAUUUUGAUGA